GUACACACCGCCCGUCACACCAUGGGAGUCGGAAAUGCCCGAAGUCUGUGACCCAACCUUAGGGAGGGAGCAGCCGAAGGCAGGUCGGAUGACUGGGGUGAAGUCGUAACAAGGUAGC
rnacentral:rRNA from 1 species